CAUCCUGCUACUCGAAUGCUUAGAUUAAGUUGAUCAUGGCUCAGAUCGAACGCUGUAGGCAGGCCUAACACAUGCAAGUCGAGCGGAUGACGGGAGCUUGCUCCUUGAUUCAGCGGCGGACGGGUGAGUAAUGCCUAGGAAUCUGCCUGGUAGUGGGGGACAACGUUUCGAAAGGAACGCUAAUACCGCAUACGUCCUACGGGAGAAAGCAGGGGACCUUCGGGCCUUGCGCUAUCAGAUGAGCCUAGGUCGGAUUAGCUAGUUGGUGGGGUAAUGGCUCACCAAGGCGACGAUCCGUAACUGGUCUGAGAGGAUGAUCAGUCACACUGGAACUGAGACACGGUCCAGACUCCUACGGGAGGCAGCAGUGGGGAAUAUUGGACAAUGGGCGAAAGCCUGAUCCAGCCAUGCCGCGUGUGUGANGAAGGUCUUCGGAUUGUAAAGGCACUAUAAGUUUGGGACGGAACGGGCAGUCAGUUGAAUACCUUGGCUGUUUGACGUUUACCGACAGAANUAANGCNCCGGCUAACUCUGUGCCCAGCNNGUCCGCCGGGGUACAUUAACACGGACGNGGGGUGCCGACAGCCGUUUGGAUCCGGGNGAGAUUUUACUUGUGCGCGGUUGCAGAGGGCGCGGCGUUUGNGCUUGGUCUCUGGUUUGACGUUUGGCACUGUUGANAGAUCGCCCCCCGGGGNUCAUACCUGGUGGGAACUGUCUACCAGAUCNUNGGCCAAUGCUUGAAGUGUACGGGNGCA
rnacentral:rRNA from 1 species